rnacentral:rRNA from 1 species
GACGUAGGGGGCGAGCGUUGUCCGGAUUUACUGGGCGUAAAGAGCGCGUAGGCGGUCUGUUAAGUGUGAAGUGAAAUCUCCAGAGCUCAACUCGGAAAUUGCUUUACAUACUGGCAGACUUGAGGAUUGCAGAGGUGAACAGAAUUCCCGGUGUAGCGGUGAAAUGCGUGGAUAUCGGGAGGAAUACCAAUGGCGAAGGCAGUUCACUGGGCAAUUCCUGACGCUGAGGCGCGAAAGCGUGGGUAGCAAACAGG